CAGUCUCACGGCAUUUCGUGAUUUGGUCACGUAAUUUAAUCUAUUUAUUCGUGCCAGGAACACGUUUAUUUCGUUAUUUUCGUAAUUCCAGCACGUUUUUUAAACUAAUGUAUUUCAAUUGGGUGCAUCUUUCGUGCAUAUAGCACGAUUUUUUUUCUGCCAGUCGGGCUGCAGUAGGGAAGCUGUUUAAUCAACAUUUAUUCACAAGAUCUUAUCAAGACUGCAAUACAUAAGAAUAAAUAGGAAUCGGCAACAAUUAACGAUCCAUGCCAGCGCAAGUCAAUAUUUAUCUGGUCAUUUUCAACUGUUUUUUAAUGUUAAAAGUCCCUCGCAGUCAACAGCUGUUUCCGGUGAGGUCAACUGCAGGAUCAAUAGCAUUCAGCGGUGAGUUUAAGAACGCUCAAAUGUGGGUAAAAUAACAUUCAGAGAGGAGUUUUAUUAAAACAGCGUUCAACUGCAUGUAAGACAACAUUCAGAGUCCUGUAAUAACCGUGACGUCAUCGAAUGAGACGAAGGUCCAUGGCUAUUUCAACUCGGAAGUUGAGAUGAAGGUGCGGAAACUUGAGGCUGUCGGAUACAAGUCAAUUGUAUUUACUGGGAAACGGGAAAAAAAGGACCUGCCGGAGAGCCUCGCCGUGGAGCUGCCGGAGAGCAUCGUCAUGGAACGGCCGGAGAAUCUCAACAAGGAGUCUGAGGCUGUUGUCGAUAAAAUAACUGGGCAGUUGAUAAAUAAGGGGAAAGCUGAAUUGAAAGUUCACUGGUGACCGUGCUCUGUGUGUGGCAAAACCUGGGAUGACACAUGGGAGACCGCCAGCGAAUUCCAACACAAGUCCCACAUCCCAACCAGCUUUCAGCAUGAAGGCCUACACCUUUUUAUUAUCAAGCACCUUUCAAUUGUUUUGGAUUGUCUUUGCUUGCUGUUCUUUAUUAAAAUUUUUG